rnacentral:rRNA from 1 species
CCUACGGGGGGCUGCAGUGGGGAAUAUUGGACAAUGGGGGGAACCCUGAUCCAGCCAUGCCGCGUGUGUGAAGAAGGGCCUCGGGUUGUAAAGCACUUUCAGUGAGGAAGAACGCCUGGUGGUUAAUACCCAUCAGGAAAGACAUCACUCACAGAAGAAGCACCGGCUAACUCCGUGCCAGCAGCCGCGGUAAUACGGAGGGUGCGAGCGUUAAUCGGAAUUACUGGGCGUAAAGCGCGCGUAGGUGGCUUGAUAAGCCGGUUGUGAAAGCCCCGGGCUCAACCUGGGAACGGCAUCCGGAACUGUCAAGCUAGAGUGCAGGAGAGGAAGGUAGAAUUCCCGGUGUAGCGGUGAAAUGCGUAGAGAUCGGGAGGAAUACCAGUGGCGAAGGCGGCCUUCUGGACUGACACUGACACUGAGGUGCGAAAGCGUGGGUAGCAAACAGGAUUAGAUACCCCGGUAGUC